UACGUAGGUGGCAAGCGUUGUCCGGAUUUAUUGGGCGUAAAGCGAGCGCAGGCGGUUCCUUAAGUCUGAUGUGAAAGCCCACGGCUUAACCGUGGAGGGUCAUUGGAGACUGGUCGACUUGAGUGCAGAAGAGGGAAGUGGAAUUCCAUGUGUAGCGGUGAAAUGCGUAGAGAUAUGGAGGAACACCAGUGGCGAAGGCGGCUUCCUGGUCUGUAACUGACACUGAGGCGCGAAAGCGUGGGGAGCAAACAGGAUUAGAUA
rnacentral:rRNA from 1 species